rnacentral:snRNA from 1 species
AUACCUUUCUCGGCCUUUUGGCUAAGAUCAAGUGUAGUAUCUGUUCUUAUCAGUUUAAUAUCUGAUAUGUGGACCAUAUGUCCACUUUGAUAUUAAAUUUAUUUUUUAUGGGGGAGGGCCCAUCACAGUGGCUUGCCACUGGGGUCCUCGAGCGUCGCCCCCAGGCGUUGCACUGCUGCCUGGGCCUGGCGCGCCACAA